AUUGAACGCUGGCGGCAUGCCUUACACAUGCAAGUCGAACGGCAGCACGGGAGCAAUCCUGGUGGCGAGUGGCGAACGGGUGAGUAAUAUAUCGGAACGUGCCCAGUCGUGGGGAUAACGUAGCGAAAGCUACGCUAAUACCGCAUACGAUCUAUGGAUGAAAGCGGGGGAUCGCAAGACCUCGCGCGAUUGGAGCGGCCGAUAUCAGAUUAGGUAGUUGGUGAGGUAAAGGCUCACCAAGCCAACGAUCUGUAGCUGGUCUGAGAGGACGACCAGCCACACUGGAACUGAGACACGGUCCAGACUCCUACGGGAGGCAGCAGUGGGGAAUUUUGGACAAUGGACGCAAGUCUGAUCCAGCCAUUCCGCGUGCAGGAUGAAAGCCCUCGGGUUGUAAACUGCUUUUUGUACGGAACGAAAAGGUUUGUCUUAAUACGAUGAGCUCAUGACGGUACCGUAAGAAUAAGCACCGGCU
rnacentral:rRNA from 1 species